rnacentral:rRNA from 1 species
AACGAACGCUGGCGGCAGGCCUAACACAUGCAAGUCGAGCGAACCCUUCGGGGUUAGCGGCUGACGGGUUAGUAACGCGUGGGAAUAUACCCUUUGGUACGGAAUAGCCUCGGGAAACUGAGAGUAAUACCGUAUGUGCCCUUCGGGGGAAAGAUUUAUCGCCAAAGGAUUAGCCCGCGUUGGAUUAGAUAGUUGGUGGGGGUAAUGGCCUACCAAGUCUACGAUCCAUAGCUGGUUUGAGAGGAUGAUCAGCAACACUGGGACUGAGACACGGCCCAGACUCCUACGGGAGGCAGCAGUGGGGAAUCUUAGACAAUGGGCGCAAGCCUGAUCUAGCCAUGCCGCGUGGACGAUGAAGGCCUUAGGGUUGUAAAGUCCCUUUCAGAUGGGAAGAUAAUGACGGUACCAUCAGAAGAAGCCCCGGCUAACUCCGUG